GCCUGAAUAAAAUAAGUAAGAUAAUAAUGAUUUGCAGUAAGCCAUUAGCAAAUCUUAACUAUUAUUUAUAACGAAAAUUCACAAAUGCAAUUACCAUAAAAUUGCUUUUUUAUACCAUGGAACUAUUAUUCCUCAGAUGAUUUGGAAAAUGCAGGUAGAGACUACUUUUUGAGGAUUUGGCUGUGAAAGAAAAGAGGCAGGGAGUGGCUAGACAAGGAUUCAGGUCAGUGAAGUGUUUUGGUUUUUGAUGGAAAAGGCUUGGGGUUUCACGACAGGGCGGCUCAGAAAUAUUUCACCAAAUUAUUUCUUUUUUACAUGAACUUUUUUUGUAGUAAACAAAUUACACAUUAUAACAUCUUAAAGGCACUGCACAGUCUCUUAAAGUUCCACUGGCUUGAGGAAUGUUACGAGAGCUUCUGUCAAAAUCCUCCCCUCAGGUGGAUGAGUAAUUGACCCUAAUCAUCAGGAGGAGUCAGAGUUUCUGCUGCACAUUGGGGGUGGUGUAGAAUAUGUUUGGUGCAUGGGUAAUCCAUGGGAGUAUCUCUUGUUUCUCAGUUGCUCGGUUUUAAUGGUAAAUCAACAGCUACAGAAGCUGCAGGAUCAUGGUAGCCAAGGGCUCCAACCCUACAGGAAUGAGCUUCUGGGUCACUGUACUAGACAAGCCACCUAGACUAGCAUAGGUCCUAGCUGAGGUUAAAGGGAAUCUACAAAAAUGGGUAAAGGAAGAGGUGGAUAUUGAGUAUCAGUUACAGCCUCUAAUCAACUGCAGCAGUAGGGGCUAAAUUUAGCUCUUCCCAGUUACCUUCUCUUAUAAGUUCCACAGGAGGCUGGGCACGGUGGCUCACACCUGUAAUCCCAGCACUGUGGGAGGCCAAGGCAGGCGGAUCACAAGGUCAGGAGGUCGAGACCAUCUUGGCUAACACGGUGAAACCCGUCUCUACUAAAAAUACAAAAAAAUUAGCGAGGCUGAUAGGCGAGGCGCCUGUAGUCCCAGCUUCUCAGGAGGCUGAGGCAGGAGAAUGGCGUGAACCCGGGGAGGCGGAGACUUGCAGGGGCGGAGAUGGCGCCAUUGCACUCCAGCCUGGGGACAGAAGCGAGACUCCGUCUCAAAAAAAAAAAAAAAAAGUUAAACUUGGUAGCAUAUAGAAAGUAUUAAAGAGAAGAAUUUUGUUAAAAAAAAAAAAAAGCAUUCCACAACCAGGCAGGAAAUAACUACACAAUAAUAAUAUGGUUACCAAUAAGAACUAAAAUGAAAUCAGUAUCUUAGACAUGUAACCAAGGAGGAAAAAAAAAAAAAAAAAAAACUAUUGAAUUGGAACUGCUAACAACCUUCACAAAGGUAAGCAAUUCUGAGGAGUCAAAUAAUUGAACAGAACCCAAGUUCAGAUUAUAUGCUUCAUUAAAAUUUGUGGUCAGUGAGCAGAACAUUCUCAAGUGCCUCAUGCCUUAUAAUUUUCUAUCAUGUCCGCACAGACACAUGCAGAGUCAUGGUGAUGAAACACCCAGCAGAGAUAACAGCCAAAUAUGGCCAGCCUCACAAUAAUGUUGGAGAAGCAGUGCAGACCGUGGCCUGGAAACCCACAAGGUAGACCUGUGGGUGGUGACAAAUUGGGCCUCUGGUAGUGCUGUUAGCAUUUUGCAAUUAACCACAAUAUCAUACUUCACUCGUAGAUGGGCAGUCUUUCUGACUUAAGGGUGGAUAAUCAGUAGCUUCUA
ensembl:lncRNA